rnacentral:rRNA from 1 species
UACGUAGGCAGCGAGCGUUGUUCGGAUUUACUGGGCGUAAAGAGUGCGUAGGCUGUGGUCCAAGUCUGGUGUGAAAUCUCCCGGCUCAACCGGGAGGGUGCGCCGGAAACUGGGCUGCUUGAGUACUGGAGAGGCAAGCGGAAUUCCUGGUGUAGCGGUGAAAUGCGUAGAUAUCAGGAGGAACACCCGUAGUGUAGACGGCUUGCUGGACAGUCACUGACGCUGAGGCACGAAAGCGUGGGGAGCAAACAGG